rnacentral:tRNA from 1 species
GGGCAGUUGGUUUACUUGGUUAAAACGCAUCUGUACGGAUGAAAAGGAGGUUCAAAUCCUUCACUGUCCA